rnacentral:rRNA from 1 species
UGGGUUUUGGUAUUGCAUGUACAGGAUAGGUGGGAGACUUGGAAAUCAGGACGCCAGUCUUGGUGGAGUCAACGUUGGGAUACCACCCUUGGAGUAUUGAAGUUCUAACAUAGCGCCGUGAAGCCGGUGCGUGGACAGUAUCAGGCGGGCAGUUUGACUGGGGCGGUCGCCUCCCAAAGAGUAACGGAGGCGCCCAAAGGUUCCCUCAGCGCGGUUGGAAAUCGCGCGUUAGAGUGUAAAGGCAGAAGGGAGCUUGACAGCGAGACGUACAGGUCGAGCUGGGACGAAAGUCGGGCUUAGUGAUCCGGCGGUAUCGAGUGGAAGAGCCGUCGCUCAACGGAUAAAAGCUACCCCGGGGAUAACAGGCUUAUCUCCCCCAAGAGUCCACAUCGACGGGGAGGUUUGGCACCUCGAUGUCGGCUCAUCGCAUCCUGGGGCUGUAGUAGGUCCCAAGGGUUGGGCUGUUCGCCCAUUAAAGCGGUACGUGAGCUGGGUUCAGAACGUCGUGAGACAGUUCGGUCCCUAUCCGUCGCAGGCGCAGGAAACUUGAGAGGAGCUGUCCCUAGUACGAGAGGACCGGGAUGGACAGACCACUGGUGUACCAGUUAUCGUGCCAACGGUAGCGCUGGGUAUCUAUGUCUGGACGGGAUAAGCGCUGAAAGCAUCUAAGCGCGAAGCCCCCCUCAAGAUGAGGUUUCCCAUAGCUUAAAGCUAGUAAGACCCCUGGCAGACAACCAGGUAGAUAGGCCGGGUGUGUAAGCUUAGUAAUGAGUUUAGCUGACCGGUACUAAUAGGUCGAGGGCUUGACCUA